rfam:TPA: Bos taurus chromosome 17, whole genome shotgun sequence.
UUCCUGGCAGUCCAGUGAUUAGGACUUGGUACUUUCAUUGCUAUGGCCCAGGUUCAAUUCCUGAUCAGGAAA